AUUGAACGCUGGCGGCAGGCCUAACACAUGCAAGUCGAACGAGUGGCGGACGGGUGAGUAAUGUCUGGGAAACUGCCUGAUGGAGGGGGAUAACUACUGGAAACGGUAGCUAAUACCGCAUACCAUCGGAUGUGCCCAUAUGGGAUUAGCUAGUAGGUGGGGUAAAGGCUCACCUAGGCGACGAUCCAUAGCUGGUCUGAGAGGAUGACCCGCCACACGGGAACGGAGACACGGUCCAGAUUCCGACGGGAGGCAGCAGUGGGGAAUAUUGGACAAGGGGCGAAAGCCUGAUGCAGCCAUGCCGCGUGUAUGAAGAAGGCCUUCGGGUGGUAAAGUACGUUCAGCGGGGAGGCGUUACCCGCAGAAGAAGCACCGGCUAACUCCGUGCCAGCAGCCGCGGUAAUUC
rnacentral:rRNA from 1 species